rnacentral:piRNA from 1 species
UACCUUUGUGUCCAAGGGAUAGGCCCAGA